rnacentral:rRNA from 1 species
GACGAACGCUGGCGGCGUGCUUAACACAUGCAAGUCGAACGGAAAGGCCCUGCUUUUGUGGGGUGCUCGAGUGGCGAACGGGUGAGUAACACGUGAGUAACCUGCCCUUGACUUUGGGAUAACUUCAGGAAACUGGGGCUAAUACCGGAUAGGAGCUCCUGCUGCAUGGUGGGGGUUGGAAAGUUUCGGCGGUUGGGGAUGGACUCGCGGCUUAUCAGCUUGUUGGUGGGGUAAUGGCUUACCAAGGCUUUGACGGGUAGCCGGCCUGAGAGGGUGACCGGCCACCUUGGGACUGAGAUACGGCCCAGACUCCUACGGGAGGCAGCAGUGGGGAAUAUUGCACAAUGGGCGGAAGCCUGAUGCAGCAACGCCGCGUGCGGGAUGACGGCCUUCGGGUUGUAAACCGCUUUCGCCUGUGACGAAGCGUGAGUGACGGUAAUGGGUAAAGAAGCACCGGCUAACUACGUG